UGGGGAAUUUUGCGCAAUGGGCGAAAGCCUGACGCAGCGACGCCGCGUGUAUGAUGAAGGCCCUUGGGUUGUAAAGUACUGUCAACGGGGAAGAACGUCGGAGGGUCAAUAGCCCUUCGGCCUGACGGUACCCGUGGAGGAAGCACCGGCUAACUCUGUGCCAGCAGCCGCGGUAAUACAGAGGGUGCAAACGUUGCUCGGAAUGACUGGGCGUAAAGCGCGCGCAGGUGGCUCGGCAAGUCGGCUGUGAAAUCCCCUGGCUCAACCAGGGACGUGCGGUCGAUACUGCCGAACUCGAGUCCCGGAGAGGGUGGUAGAAUUCCCAGUGUAGAGGUGAAAUUCGUAGAUAUUGGGAGGAAUACCGGUGGCGAAGGCGACCGCCUGGACGGGUACUGACACUGAGGCGCGAAAGCGUGGGGAGCAAACAGGAUUAGAUACCCGUGUAGUCC
rnacentral:rRNA from 1 species